AGUGAACGCUGGCGGUAGGCCUAACACAUGCAAGUCGAACGGCAGCACAGUAAGAGCUUGCUCUUACGGGUGGCGAGUGGCGGACGGGUGCGGAAUACAUCGGAAUCUACUUUUUCGUGGGGGAUAACGUAGGGAAACUUACGCUAAUACCGCAUACGACCUACGGGUGAAAGCAGGGGAUCUUCGGACCUUGCGCGAUUGAAUGAGCCGAUGUCGGAUUAGCUAGUUGGCGGGGUAAAGGCCCACCAAGGCGACGAUCCGUAGCUGGUCUGAGAGGAUGAUCAGCCACACUGGAACUGAGACACGGUCCAGACUCCUACGGGAGGCAGCAGUGGGGAAUAUUGGACAAUGGGCGAAAGCCUGAUCCAGCCAUACCGCGUAGGUGAAGAAGGCCUUCGGGUUGUAAAGCCCUUUUGUUGGGAAAGAAAAGCAGCAGGUUAAUACCCCGCUGUUCUGACGGUACCCAAAGAAUAAGCACCGGCUAACUUCGUG
rnacentral:rRNA from 1 species